rnacentral:rRNA from 1 species
GCAUACGGUGGAUGCCUUGGCAGUCAGAGGCGAUGAAAGACGUGGUAGCCUGCGAAAAGCUUCGGGGAGUCGGCAAACAGACUUUGAUCCGGAGAUGUCUGAAUGGGGGAACCCAGCCAUCAUAAGAUGGUUACCUUACACUGAAUACAUAGGUGUAUGGAGCGAACCAGGGGAACUGAAACAUCUAAGUACCCUGAGGAAAAGAAAUCAACCGAGAUUCCCUUAGUAGUGGCGAGCGAACGGGGACUAGCCCUUAAGUGGCUUUGAGAUUAGCGGAACGCUCUGGAAAGUGCGGCCAUAGUGGGUGAUAGCCCUGUACGCGAAAAUCUCUUAGUCAUGAAAUCGAGUAGGACGGAGCACGAGAAACUUUGUCUGAAUAUGGGGGGACCAUCCUCCAAGGCUAAAUACU